GCAGAACCAUGGGAGAUCAGCAAGUGGCUGCUGGAGAGGAAGAGGAGCAAGACCAAGGAUUUUCUGCGCCAGAGCGAGGCCUACCUGCAGAGCCCACAGGACAUCCUGCGGCAGGACGCUGUCAGGUUCAUCGGUGAGCCAUGAGCCCCGGGUCCCUCCGACAGGGUCCCUGCAUCCCAGCGCAGAACCUGUGGGGCACCCCUUGGCCCCCUCUCAGCCACUCCUGCCUGCACACAUUGGGCUGGCAGUAGGCUCAUCCCCUCCCCGACGUGGCAACCCAGAGUCAGCCCUCCCUGGGGAGCUGUGUGGCCAGGCAGGGUGGGUGCUGGGGUCCCCGACGGGCAGCGGGUUCCCCAACAUACUGUGUCCCCCCCAGGGCUCAUCGGGACAGCACGUGGAUGAGCGCGGGAUAAGGGAGCACAUCAAACAGGGUGAGUGAGGGCAGUGGGGAGGAGGAAGGGCUCUGGCACAGAGCUGCCCCCCAGCCCAGGCAAGGGGGGCUCUGCUCCCAGUGCGUCUAUAGGGAGAGUGUGUUUGCGGAGGAGGGUGUUCCUGACCAGCAGCCUCCAGCUGAGCCACCUGCCCCCUGGCUCCCUCCCGGCCCUGGGCAUCACGGGGUGUAAUGUGCCCUGCCUGGAGGGGACACAGGGCUGUCACCUCACCUCUCCUGCUUUGCCCCAACAGUCCUUGAAGGCUCAAGAAAAGACGCCAGCCCCCAGGUCUCCUCCUUGGCGGCUCAGACCAGCUUCUUGCUCGAAGAAAGAAGGACGAGUUCAAGGUUCAGCCUACGGUGGCUGUGCUUUUUGCUGCCAGGUGCCUGGAGGAAGCGGCACUCGGCCCCCCGCAGGGACUCCUGAAAACUCGUGAAGUUCAACAAAGCGAAGUGCAAGGUCCUACACCUGAGUCACGGCAGCCCCAGGCACAACCACGGGUUGGCUGGAGCACCCCCCAUACAAUUCCAUGGGGGUGUUGUGACCCAAAAGCAGGACCUCAUACCACUGGCCACAGCCCAUCGAUCCAGCUGGCCAGAUCCCUCUGCAGAGCCUUCCUCUCCUCCAGCAGAUCAACACUCCACCCAGCUUGGCGUCAUCAGCAAACUGACUGAGGGUGCCCUCGAUUCCCUCAUCCAGAUCAUCAGUGAAGACACUAAACAACACUGGCCCUAACACCGAGCCCUAGUGACCGGUCACCAACUAGAUGCAACACCAUUUACCACCACUCUUUGUGCUCGGCCAUCCAGCCAGUUUCCAACCCAGUGAAGAACACACCUAUCCAGGCCUUGAGCAGCCAGUGUCUCCAGGAGAAUGCUGUGGGAGACACUGUCCAAUGCUUUAUUAAACUCCAAAUAG
rnacentral:lncRNA from 1 species